rnacentral:tRNA from 1 species
GGUGUUAUAGCUCAGUGGUAGAGCAUUUGUCUUGUAUGCAUUAGUCACUGGGUUUGACCCAGAGCACCA